rnacentral:rRNA from 1 species
GGUUGAUCCUGCCAGUAGCAUAUGCUUGUCUCAAAGAUUAAGCCAUGCAUGUCUAAGUAUAAAAGUAUUCUAUACUUGAAACUGCGAAUAGCUCAUUAAAUCAGUUAUAGUUUAUUUGAUGGUACCUUACUACAUGGAUACCCGUAGUAAUUCUAGAGCUAAUACAUGCGUAAAGACCUGACUCGCGAGGGAAGGGUUGUAUUUAUUAGAUAAAAAACCAAUGCACCAGCAAUGGUGGUCUGUGGUGAUUCAUAAUAACUGUUCGAAUCGUAUGACCUUGCGUCGACGAUAGU